UACGUAGGUGGCAAGCGUUGUCCGGAAUUAUUGGGCGUAAAGCGCGUGUAGGCGGCUUUGCAAGUCGGGUGUGAAAGCCCUCAGCUCAACUGGGGAGGGUCACGCGAUACUGAUCGACUCGAAGGCAGGAGAGGGUAGUGGAAUUCCCGGUGUAGUGGUGAAAUGCGUAGAUAUCGGGAGGAACACCAGUGGCGAAGGCGACUACCUGGCCUGUUCUUGACGCUGAGGCGCGAAAGCUAGGGGAGCAAACGGG
rnacentral:rRNA from 1 species